rnacentral:rRNA from 1 species
CCUACGGGAGGCAGCAGUGAGGAAUAUUGGUCAAUGGGCGUAAGCCUGAACCAGCCAAGUCGCGUGCGGGAUGAAGGCCCUAUGGGUUGUAAACCUCUUUUGUAGGGGAAUAAAACCCUCCCCUUGUGGAGGUUUGCAGGUACCGUACGAAUAAGGUCCGGCUAAUUCCGUGCCACCAGCCGCGGUAAUACGGAAGUGCCGAGCGUUAUCCGGAUUCAUUGGGUUUAAAGGGUGCGUAGGCGGUUUUUAAAGUCAGCGGGAAAAUAGUGGGGUUCAACCGCUCCCCGCCGUUGAAACUGGACGUCUUGAGUGUGCAAGAGGUAGGCGGAAUGCGUGGUGUAGCGGUGAAAUGCAUAGAUAUCACGAAGAACCCCGAUUGCGAAGGCAGCCUACCGGGGUGCGACUGACGCUGAGGCACGAAGGCGUGGGUAUCAAACAGGAUUAGAUACCCUUGUAGUC